rnacentral:rRNA from 1 species
AGCGAAAGUGAUAAGUAAUCCACCUGGGGAGUACGCUUGCAAGGGUGAAACUCAAAGGAAUUGACGGGGACCUGCACAAGCGGUGGAGCAUGUGGUUUAAUUCGAUGAUACGCGAGGAACCUUACCAAGGUUUGAACGCAGGACGACAGGUUGUGAAAGCAGCUUUUCUUCGGACGGCCUGCGAGGUGCUGCAUGGUUGUCGUCAGCUCGUGCCGUGAGGUGUUGGGUUAAGUCCUAUAACGAGCGCAACCCCUAUCGUUAGUUGCCAUCAUUUAGUUGGGGACUCUAGCGAGACUGCUGGUGUAAACCAGAGGAAGGCGGGGACGACGUCAAAUCAUCACGGCUCUUACAUCUUGGGCGACACACGUGCUACAAUGGCCGGUACAAAGGGAAGCAAUAGGGUGACUUGGAGCAAAUCCAUAAAAACCGGUCUCAGUUCGGAUUGGAGUCUGCAACUCGACUCUAUGAAGCUGGAAUCGCUAGUAAUCGCGGAUCAGCCAUGCCGCGGUGAAUACGUUCUCGGGUCUUGUACACACCGCCCGUCAAGCCACGAAAGUUGGGGGUA